rnacentral:miRNA from 1 species
UGUCAGUUUAUCAAAUAUUCUAA